CUACACUUUGAAAAAAGUCGCGAAAAAAUGGUUACAUCAUAUCAGACAUCUAAGAAUAUAACAACGAUCCCAACAUCCGGAUGUAUCCGGAUGUUUGAUUCGGAUAUCCGGAUGGCCGUGUCGGCUCCAGAUGACAUCCCUAUUAAUAAUAAUUAGAUAAACCGCAAUUUAAAACUUACAGAAAAAAACAACAACACAGACAACAGUAUAUAAGGUAUUAAAAAUCACCAUAACAUCAGUUGAAAGACAGAUUUGAAUAGAACUGUUUCUUUAAAUUAAUAUAAUUAAGUUGGAAAAAGGAACGUUUCUUGAAAUUAUUUAUCUUUUUAUAUAUAAAACAUGAAUUCCUUAACAUGUAUUAUACUUUUAUUUGGAUUAUUCGCUGUUGGUAUUGGACAAUACAUUGGUGGCACCCAACGACCGACUUUUCCGCUGAGGUGUUUAGCAGUGAUGUGUGCUUCUCCCGAAUUCUGCAUGAACCCUGUGAUGCUAGAAGGCGAAUGCUGUCCUGUCUGCUCAGGUUGAUCUGAGAAGCCCCUGUAAAGAACUGACAUAAAAAUGUAACCACAGAAUUAUGUACCUGAGAACACUACAAGAUAUAAUUAUUUGGCGAAAAUGGGUGGAAAAUCGCAACAUGCAACCCGAUUGUUAUUGAAAUCGUACUCAAUAAAAGACAAUCGUAGUUCAUUUUAUUUGAUAUUUUUCUUUCAAAAUAAAAUAUUUUUGUGUUUUCGUUGCUGAAUUAGAUGUAAUAAAUUUUCACAAUUUUU